UACGUAGGGUGCAAGCGUUAAUCGGAAUUACUGGGCGUAAAGCGUGCGCAGGCGGUUUUGUAAGUCUGUCGUGAAAGCCCCGGGCUCAACCUGGGAACUGCAUUUGUGACUGCAUCGCUGGAGUGCGGCAGAGGGGGAUGGAAUUCCGCGUGUAGCAGUGAAAUGCGUAGAUAUGCGGAGGAACACCGAUGGCGAAGGCAAUCCCCUGGGCCUGCACUGACGCUCAUGCACGAAAGCGUGGGGAGCAAACAGG
rnacentral:rRNA from 1 species